GAGUAACUUCUCGAAUUAAAAAUGUCAUCAAACCAGGAGUCUGUUUUCAACAUUUAAACAUCACUAUCAUGAUACCCUUCAAUAAUAUAAUUGAACAUAUAAGCUACAAUUAGGUUUAUGCAUUCCCCAUGAAUGAAGAAAAUAAGGUUGCAUCCCAGGAGCUCUACAAGAAUGUUAUAGAGUGAUGAAUGCAGCCAAAGAAAACAUGAAGAAAAGAAAAUGGAAAAUAACACAGGUCACACUGAACAGCAGAUUGUUGUCUCAAGCCAGUGCUGAUCAAUGACAGUUUAGCUGCAGUUUGUCAGAGAAGAGAGGAAAGAUGAGUCUCUCACAGAAACAGAGUGUAAGAUCAGGCUCACAUGUGUCUGUGAAGAGUGACUGGUCAAAGGAUUUAGAACCACCAUGCUUCAGUGAGAAAAAAACAUCUAUCAAAAGGUAUUUAUUAUCUUUGACAUUAUAAUGUUGUGUUGGCUUAUUUCUCCACUAAGAUGCUUGUGAUAGAAAUGAAUGAAAUAAAACAAUAAAUCACU